rnacentral:rRNA from 1 species
CCUACGGGUGGCAGCAGUGGGGAAUAUUGGACAAUGGGGGGAACCCUGAUCCAGCGACGCCGCGUGAGUGAAGAAGUAUUUCGGUAUGUAAAGCUCUAUCAGCAGGGAAGAAAAUGACGGUACCUGACUAAGAAGCCCCGGCUAACUACGUGCCAGCAGCCGCGGUAAUACGUAGGGGGCAAGCGUUAUCCGGAUUUACUGGGUGUAAAGGGAGCGUAGACGGUGCAGCAAGUCUGAUGUGAAAGGUCGGGGCCCAACCCCGGGACUGCAUUGGAAACUGUGUAACUGGAGUGCAGGAGAGGCAGGCGGAAUGUCUAGUGUAGCGGUGAAAUGCGUAGAUAUUAGGAGGAACACCAGUGGCGAAGGCGGCCUGCUGGACUGUAACUGACGUUGAGGCUCGAAAGCGUGGGGAGCAAACAGGAUUAGAUACCCGUGUAGUC